UUAUUUUCGAGAAACGACCCUCCAACAGUGAAGUUAGAUGUCCAAAAUGUUAGAGAGGGAAAGUGUACGUAUGCUCAAGUGAUCAGUUUGCACGUGAUCUUUGUGAAAAUAACAGUGUUCCCUUUUAUACUCUAGCUCAGUGCGUGGCUCGACGCGGUAGCUAUCUUACCACUCAUCAGGCUGUAUCGAUUGUCGUGUCAGUGACUAGGCAGCUGACCCAGCCCUUCCCCCUCGGCGUGCUAGUAGCUCAUUUAUCAUUGCCGACGUCUCCAUCCGAGCAUAAGGGCUAUCGAAGGUACUUUGACGUGUCAAGUCACCUUCUGUCCCUUGAUCCUUGGAGAAUAACACCGCCAGCCCGUUACCGUUUUUUAAUACCUACCUUACCCGCCUCUUCAAGCUUCCAAUGUAGUGUGAUUGUUCCGAGCUCGCUGAGUAGCUGCACCUCGGAUGUAACGAAGGCCUUAGCCCUGACGGUAUUUAUCUUUGGUAGUGAUUGCUCUGAGUUUUAGCGCAGAGGAUCUCCGAGCUCGCUUUGUAGCGACAGCUUCAUAGGGACCUCUGUCCUAGCAAGGCUAGUGUUGAAUAGUGUGCGCACCGAGAUCUGGCGUAGGGAACCACCGAGCUUUCCUUAUAGCGAUAGCCCGACGAAGUUCCUUCCCUAGGAAGGCCAGAUUAUGUCAUUGUAUAAUUUGUCCCCUUACAAUUAUAAUCACUAUAAUGAAUCUCCAAAUAAGAUUGUCUCAAUCACAGCCGUUGGCAUGCCAGAAGCACGCUUUCUUUCCUACUGUCUACUUUUUUACAUAAAUGUUUUAACAUAAUCUACUACUCUGGAACCCAUCCGUUGCAAUACAUGGAAUGGGAUGGGGUAUGCCGUAUCUUGUGGAAUGUUAUAAUAUGGUAAACUUCUAUAGAUCACUUAAUCAUAACAAAUACAUUUAUUCAGAACAUGAAAUGGUUUUUGAGUUCGUCUAAUAUACUUGCACAUAUAUGAUUGAGGGCUUUGUUUUUAACUUUUUAUUUUUUGUUUUUUUGUUGUUGAUUUUUAUUUUUUAAAAUAAACGUAAAACAAAACUGUUUGUUUUGCAAAAAAUACAUUAAAAUAAGUUAAAUACGUUCACUAUUUUUGAAAACGUGAAAAUAAGAAAAAAUUAUUUUUGUUUUGUUUACAAAACUUUUCAUUCAAAAUUUUUUUAUAUCCAAAUUUUCAACCCCCACCACUGUAAAAUCCCAAACUUUUAGAUAUUUCAUUUCUCUAAGUAAUAUGAUAUGCAUGACAUAUGAACAAUAAUAUGUUAAUUACAAUUUUUUAUACGAUUAAGAUUAUUUUGGUGUUAAAUUAAAAGAUUUAUAAUUUUUGGGAUCAAAUUAAAGAGAUUAUAAAAGUUGAUGGACAAAAGUGUAUUUGCAUUGGUGGGAGACAACUUGCCGAAAGAGAAGGACAAUAGGAAAAAAAAAAAAAAGGAGAGAGAGAUUUUGUCCUCCGAAAGUGGAAAAGAAGAAAAUAAAAUAAAAUAAAAUCAUAAUGAAAUAAUAAUAGAUAAUAAAAUAUAGUAAUAUUUUAUUUAUAUAUCUAUAUGUGAUUGAGUGGUGAGAAGGAGAGUAUAAUGAGAAUAGAGAGACCGAAUAGAAAAAAGGAGAAGAGGAAGUUUCUAAGAGAGAAGAAAAAAAAAAAAAAAGAAGAAUAGAGAAAUUAUUGAGGUAAUUCCCUGAUUUUUUUUCUCUACGACUUCUUUGCUAAAUUUCUGAUAUGUUGAAUAUUAUUUUUACUCAUUUUAGUGUAAAAUAAUCUGUUAAGAUAUUCCCCAAAAUGUUUAUUAUUUGAAUCUUUUUCGGAUCAAAUUCGUAUGGAUGAAAUAAAAUUUUUUUUUCACCGACCAGUAUUAGUAUUUUAGUCAUAACUUCCUCAUAUGAUAUCCGUUUUGAUUUGAUUCAAGUUUCAUAUGAAAGAUACUUUAAAUACUACAAGUUUUCGUGAAAUACAAUUUUUUUUUCCAAUUUUUAAGUUUAAAGGGUCGAAAGCAACUUGGAAUACGAAUAAAGAAAAAUUAAAGUGUAUGUUUUAUUCCGAACCACUGUCAGUAUUUUACCCAUACCUUCUUCAUAUGACAACAUUUUUAGUUGAUUCAAGUUUCUGAGAAUGAUAUUUUAAAUAUCCUACAAGUUUAUGUGAAAUACGAAUUUUCAAUUCGAAGUUUUAAAUGACCAAACAAGACUUGAAAGUACGAGUAGAAAAAUUAAGCUAUGUUAUGUUUCAUUUUGAACCCAACUGUCGGUAUUUGAGCCAAACUGCCUUCAUACGAAAACAUUUUUAUUGAUGCAGUUCUGAGAAUAGCUAUUUUAAAUACCUACAAGUUUAUGUGAAAUAGUAUUUUUCAAUUUUCCAGUUUAAAUAGCCUCAAACAGGCUUGCGAUUCCGAAGCAAAAAAACUGAAUUUUUUUUUUUAGUUUUUUUGUCCCCUGCGAGUUGAUUUUUUUAAACCAAUUUACGUUUUAAAAAUAAUAAUAAUAAUACUUUUGAGAAAUAAACAAAAUUCUAUAGUUAGACUAAUAUUGAAAAAAAAUUUAAAAUUAAUUAUAAAUAUUAAGUGAAGAUAUUAAUUAUAAUUAUUCAACAAAUGAAAUGUUUAUAGGAUCGAUCGUUUAGCCUAGUAAUACAACGAACGAUAGCUGUAAUACAAUUUCCAAACAAGCCAUUAAGUAACCUUACUCUCUAAGGUAGUGUAAGUAACCCAAUCUCUAAAGUAGAAUAAUUACUUUUUGAUGCUAUUAUAUAGCAUGACAAUUUAUGUUAUGCUUGCCAAAUUAAUCCAUGGAAUAGAUGAAAAUGUUUGAAAAAGAUUUUUUGUAUUUAUAUGCCUAUGUACCAUCAUGUUUCUACCUUUCGGGAAUUUACUGACUCGGCCGGCAUACCCAGACUCAAGGGGGUGUGGAAAUCACGUUAUCAACCCGACUAAGGACGGAGGUCAUAGUUCAUAAUGUAUGUUUUAAAGAUUAUGUUGACUCGGAUAUAGUCAAAAUACAAGUACAAAGCAUGAAUUUUGAACAAGUUAGUGCUAAAGAUUAAAUGUUUUUUAUCUUUCUUCACGCUAUGUAUGUUCAUAUGGCCAUCUCCCAUGGUAUUUAUAUUUGGAUAUGUAUGAAUAAAACCUAUGUUAUAGAUUAUGGUUAUACGCGAUAGCAAUGUGGUAGGAAUAUUGUUUUUGACAAUAUUUCAGGUGAUAAAGGAAAGCAAGUGGAGUAAAUAUAAGAACCAGUUAUUUAAUAAAGAACAAUGAUUUAUGUGGUUAGUUUUCGACUAGAAGUCCGAUAAGCUUUUGAAUAUGUAAUGGUAUUGAAUUAUUAAUGAAUGUUAAUACAGGUUACAGUCUCUCUACCGUCAUGAGCAAUGUAUUGCAAAUGAAUGAAUUUAAUAUUGAGUUUUAUUACUCCAAAAUAAAUUUUAUAGGGGAUUGUUUCGCUUCCGCACUGAAAAGGUUUUUAAACAAAAGAAACAAAAAGUUUAAAGAAAAAUUUUUACGAAUGAAAAAAUCAAAGUAACGACGCUCGAUGCCGCGUGGACCAAGUGGCGUCGGGCGCGGUCGUUUCAGAAUAGUAUCAGAGCCCAGGUUCAGAGACUUGACUAUUCUAAUGCAUGAUGAAUUAUGUGUAAAGAUGAUAUAUGCUAUUACACUAUUACUUAUUACUCUCGCGGUGCUAGUAAAAAUAUGAAUAACGGCUUAAUUCAAUAAUGCACUCCUUAUCAAUUUUGUCUCAGUUGAGUCUGUAUGUGAUUUUAGACUCAUGGCAACAAGAGGGCGAGCAUGACGUAGGGGAAGGGGAGGGCGCAACCCUGACCCUAAUAGAAUUGAGAGAGCCUUGGAAGGCUUAGUCAAUGCUUGGAGCACCAUAAUUCCUAACCCCAGGGGAUCCCAACGAUCCAACAAUUCCGUGACUUAAUGCCCCCGACGUUUGAGGGCCGACUGAUCCCGAAGUGGCCAUGCGUUGGCUACCAGAGUCAAAAGGCUUACACCGUUUUUUUUCCAUGCACUAUGCAUGCAACAGAAGGUUAGGCUUCGCCGCCUACAUGUUUGUGGGUGAGGCGCAUGAAUGGUGGCUACUUACUUCGGAUAGGGAGCCCACAUGACUUGGGAGAAGUUUCAAGCGUUUUUUCGAUGAUAAUAUUUUCCACAAGCACUGAAGUCAAAGAAACUCAAGGAGUUAAAGUCACUUAAAGCAAGGAAAUAUGACAGUGAUGGCUUAUGAGGCCCAUUCAUUCCGGAAUUGGCACGAUAUGCCCCGUUAUGGUAGACAUCCGAGGAAAAGAAAGCAGAAAAUUUGAGAUGUUUGAGAGGAAACAUCAAGAGUCCGAUUGGAUUUCCCGAUUGCCUACGGAUGCAGUAUUGACUGUGCACUCUCAUAGCUGAAAGAAGUAACGAAGAAUAUGAUCACAGACGAGACAAUAAGAGAAGGGAGAGGUAUCCAAGUGACCCGGAGGUCAAAUGUCAUCAAUCCACGACGUCAAAAAACACACGGGAGGCAAUAGGGCAGAGUAACUCAUCGUCUUCAGGUAACUAUCCACCACAGUGUUUCUAAGUGUGGAAAGUUUUUCACAAAGGGACUAAUUUGUUAUGGGCGGGGGACGGGAGCUUGUUUCAAUUGUGGCCAACAAGGCCAUAUGAAUCAAGGACUGCCCAAAUCUAAUCAGUCACGUGGCUAUGGUCCUUUUCCACCUCCACACCAUCCCCACCUGUCAACAUACUCAUCUUCUACUGCUGGAAGGGGUCAACUCAACAAGGAAGAGUUUUGCACUUGUACCUAGAGACGUACAGCUCCACAUCUGGGUCUCAGGUAUAACCAUCCAUCGAUUCAUAUCCUGCUCAUGUAUUGAUAGCUUCGGUUCUACUCACUUCCUUUGUCGCUCCUCAUUUGCCACUAAAUGUCUACCCUCCCCAACCUUUGACUUUCACCUGUGCAUGUUUCAACCCCAUCUGAACUCCAUGAUAGGUUCACAUAUCUUUUCAGGAUUGUGAAAUUCAAGUACCAUGAUGUUUCGUCUGUAAACCUAAAAUUUCCCUUAGACAUCCAGCACUUUGAUGUUUUAUUUUGGGAUGGAUUGGUUAGCUUCAUUGAUGCCAACCAUCGAUUGUGUGCACCAAGAAAGUGAAUUUUCAAUUCCUAUGCAACCAAGCUAACUUUGAGGGAGAAGGUGUUUGCCCACCCACCUUACCUCAUCUCGUAUCUUCAUGCAACGUCGUUGCUUAGAGGGAAUGCCCACGUGUUACUUUGCAUCCCAUUCAUAAAUUGCCCACUAAGAGAUCAACGCCAUCUGAAUCCCAUGUUGUGAGGAAUUUAUGGCGUAUGCCAUAUGAUCUUGUCGAGUUGCUCUGAUAGAGAUUUGGGAAUUCACCAUUGAUUAGUUCGCCGGGUAACCCCUUCAUUUCGCAGGCAAUCACCAUACGAAUGGCACCUGUUGAAUUGAAAGAGUUAAAGCUUCAGCUUCAAGAGUUGUUGAUAAAGGGUUUUUAUCCGACCGAGUACCUCACCUUGGGGUGCUCCAUUUUGUUUGUAAAAAGAAAGACCUCCAUGAGAUUUUCAGCGACUAUAGAGAUUGAAUGAGUUCCCAUAUAAGAACAAGUAUCCUUUACCCCGGAUCGACGAUCUAGUUGACACUUCAAGGUGCACAAGUAUUUUUCCCAAGAUAGAUCUUCGUCAGGUAUCACCAACUGAGGAUAAGCCAGAGGAUAUACCAAAUAGCGCAUUCGUACACGCUAUGGACCCUACGAAUUCUUAGUAAACCCGCCAUUGAUUUUCACCAAUGCUCCUGCAGCUUUUCAAUGAUUUAAUGAAUCGUUAUUCAAAUCUCACCUCGACGAUUGCCUUAUAUCUUUAUGACGAAUCCCAUUUAUUCCAAGAUAAAUGAGGACCAUGAGCGCAUUUAAAAACGGAUAGCUUUGGCAAACGUUAACGAGAGGAAAAACUCGAGUAUUGCCUUUUGGGACAUAAAUUUCAAGGAGGGAAUUUCUGUCGACCCAUUCAGAAAUUGACGCCGUUGUAAAUUGUCCACGACCCACAAAUGCUACAAGAUAGAAACUUUUUUGGACUCGCAAGGUUAUUACCAACAUUUGUCAAGACUUUUCACUACUAGCAACACCAAUGGAUCAAGAUUGAACCCAAAGCACGUGACUUACAUGUGGGAUGCAUAUUGUGAGGACAGUUUUCAAGAGUUGAAGAAACGGUUGAUUAUCGUCUCCUCAUUCUGACCCUACCAACGGGAGAGGUGCUAGGUGAUUUUUUAAAGCGAUGCCUCGCUUAAGGGACUUGGAUUGUGUUCUGAUGCAAGCAUUGAAAGUGAUUGCUUAUGCCUACGACCAACUAAAGCCUUAUGAGAAGAACUACCCAACUCACGUUUAGAACUUCAUGCAGUGAUUUUUGCCCUCAAAAUCUGGCGUCAUUUUUGUAUGGAGAGCCAAUGUGAGAUUUACAGACAUACCAUACAAAGCCUUCAGUCAUUUUUACCCAAAGGAGCUCAACAUGCACAACGACGUGUUUGGAACUUAUGAGGACUACGCAUCUUACAUUCUUUACCACCCUGGUAAAGCUAAUGUUGUAGCAGAUGCCUCAGUCGGAAGUCUUCCGGCAAUUUGGCGUACAUGAUCACGAGCCAACCAACACUACUAGACUGAUUUGAGACACUUGAUGUAGAGAUCGUGUCUCACAAGGAGGAUGCUAUAUUAUUCGCUUUCCGUGGAGCCACUAUUAUUGAGACGCAUCACGGUGCACAAAUGGAUAUAAUCGUUUUGAGAAAACUCCUUGACGAAUUUGAGCAAGGGACAAGCCAGUUUUUCUUUUGUUGACUGCGUUUUGAGAUUGAAGGACAUCUUGUGUGUACCACGUUCGGCCGACAUCAAAAAACAAAAUUUUAGAGCAGCCACAGUGUCAAAAUUUGCUAUUCACCCAGGAUGCACCAAGAUUUACCACGUUUGAGAAAAAAUGUUGGUGGCCAAGCUGAAGAAAGACGUUGCAAGGUAUGUAGCACGUUGCAUUCACUGUCAAAGAGUGAAAUCGUAACACCAAACUGCCAGGAGGACUGCUGACUUCUCUCUUUCCAUUCCAGAAUGGAAAUAGGAACACAUUAGAUGGAUUUUGUCGUAGGGCGAAAACCCUUCGAAUAGAGGGAACGAUACCAUUUGGGUACUUGUGACCGUCUUACCAGUCGUCGCAUUUCCUUAGCUAUGAAAAUUACGCACAAUAUGGAUACACUUGCCAACCUUUACAUAAAGAAAUCAUUUGCCUUCAUGGAACACCUAUGUCUACAUCGUAUCAGAUCUCGGACCCUGAGAUUUGUUUCAUCCAAUUUUGGAAAAUUUUGCAAGCGGCUAUGGGAACUCAAUUGAAUUUUAGACUCUGCUUUUUCCACCCUCAAACCGAUGGGACAAUCAAGGAGAGUGUUCAUAUACUAGAAGAUUAUUACGGUUUGCACGUUAGACUUCAAAGGAGGUUGGGAAUAGCAUUUACCAUUGG
rnacentral:lncRNA from 1 species